rnacentral:rRNA from 1 species
CCUACGGGGGGCAGCAGUGAGGAAUAUUGGUCAAUGGACGAGAGUCUGAACCAGCCAAGUAGCGUGAAGGAUGACUGCCCUAUGGGUUGUAAACUUCUUUUAUAUGGGAAUAAAAUGUUCCACGUGUGGGAUUUUGUAUGUACCAUAUGAAUAAGGAUCGGCUAACUCCGUGCCAGCAGCCGCGGUAAUACGGAGGAUCCGAGCGUUAUCCGGAUUUAUUGGGGUUAAAGGGAGCGUAGGUGGAGUGUUAAGUCAGUUGUGAAAGUUUGCGGCUCAACCGUAAAAUUGCAGUUGAAACUGGCAGUCUUGAGUACAGUAGAGGUGGGCGGAAUUCGUGGUGUAGCGGUGAAAUGCUUAGAUAUCACGAAGAACUCCGAUUGCGAAGGCAGUUCACUGGACUGCAACUGACACUGAGGCUCGAAAGUGUGGGUAUCAAACAGGAGUAGAUACCCUUGUAGUC